rnacentral:rRNA from 1 species
GACGAACGCUGGCGGCGUGCUUAACACAUGCAAGUCGUACGGUAAGGCCCUUUCGGGGGUACACGAGUGGCGAACGGGUGAGUAACACGUGAGUAACCUGCCCACAACUUUGGGAUAACGCUAGGAAACUGGUGCUAAUACUGGAUAUGUGCUCCUGCUGCAUGGUGGGGGUUGGAAAGCUCCGGCGGUUGUGGAUGGACUCGCGGCCUAUCAGCUUGUUGGUGGGGUAGUGGCCUACCAAGGCGGCGACGGGUAGCCGGCCUGAGAGGGUGACCGGCCACAGUGGGACUGAGAUACGGCCCAGACUCCUACGGGAGGCAGCAGUGGGGAAGAUUGCACAAUGGGCGCAAGCCUGAUGCAGCAACGCCGCGUGCGGGAUGACGGCCUUCGGGUUGGAAACCGCUUUCAGCAGGGACGAAGCUUUUUGUGACGGUACCUGCAGAAGAAGCACCGGCUAACUACGUG